rnacentral:misc_RNA from 1 species
GAUGAAGAACGCAGUGAAAUGCGAUAAGUAAUGUGAAUUGCAGAAUUCAGUGAAUCAUCGAAUCUUUGAACGCACAUUGCGCCCGCCAGUAUUCUGGCGGGCAUGCCUGUCUGAGCGUCAUUUCAACCCUCAAGCAACUUCUGCUUGGUGUUGGGGAUCGGCCGUCAAACGCCGCCCCCGAAACCUAUUGGCGAUCUCGCUGUAGCUUCCUAUGCGUAGUAGUAACAUCUCGCAUCUGGAGAGCGGCGCGGUCAUGCCGUAAAACACCCAACUUCUCAGGUUGACCUCAGAUCAGGUAGGAAUACCCGCUGAACUUAAGCAUAUCAAUAAGCGGAGGA